CGGGGUGCAGCAGGCGCGAAAACUUUACAAUGCCGGCAACGGCGAUAAGGGAACCUCGAGUGCCAGGUUACAAAUCUGGCUGUCGUGAUGCCUAAAAAGCAUUGCAUAGCAAGGGCCGGGCAAGACCGGUGCCAGCCGCCGCGGUAACACCGGCGGCUCGAGUGGUAACCGUUAUUAUUGGGUCUAAAGGGUCUGUAGCCGGCCGGGUAAGUCUCUUGGGAAAUCUGGCAGCUUAACUGUCAGGCUUUCAGGAGAUACUGCCUGGCUCGAGGCCGGGAGAGGUGAGAGGUACUUCAGGGGUAGGGGUGAAAUCUUGUAAUCCUUGAAGGACCACCAGUGGCGAAGGCGUCUCACCAGAACGGACCUGACGGCAAGGGACGAAAGCUAGGGGCACGAACCGGAUUAGAUACCCGGGUAGUCCUAGCCGUAAACGAUACUCGCUAGGUGUCGGCCACGGUGCGACCGUGGUCGGUGCCGUAGGGAAGCCGUGAAGCGAGCCACCUGGGAAGUACGGCCGCAAGGCUGAAACUUAAAGGAAUUGGCGGGGGAGCAAAGGGCGAAUCGCG
rnacentral:rRNA from 1 species